AUGGAUACGUCUCCGCCAACGCUUCAGCAAGGAGAGGCAAUUGCGGGAGCAAGAGACGAGGAGUGGAGCCGAAAAGCCUACGAAACAAAAAUGGGUGUUAUAUGAGAGUCUCACUUUCUUGGGAAGACAUAUAACCCAAAGAAGAAGCUUUUCUAAUGUCAACUUUACGAAGCCAUCUGGGCCGAACGAUAUCAGUGGGGCGUCAUUGAAAACCCAAUGUUCAAUGGUUCUUUAUUAGGACAACCAUGAAAUAUCCAUCAAUGACUACUCUAAUUACAAGACACCAGCUUCAACAUCCGGCCAGCACUCACUGCAUACAUCGACGUCGAAAGAAAUCAGCCUAUUUUAUAUUUGGAACUGGA